rfam:Oryza brachyantha chromosome 6, whole genome shotgun sequence.
UCAGCAGAUGAUGAGAACCAAGACAAGGUAUCUGCAGCGCGCCUGAUCCAAAUCGGGAGCGCGAUAGCAUGAUGACUCCUUCUAGGGGAAUCUCUGAUGCAAC